rnacentral:rRNA from 1 species
AGCAGCCGCGGUAAUUCCAGCUCCAAUAGCGUAUAUUAAAGUUGCUGCAGUUAAAAAGCUCGUAGUUGAAUUUCGGGACUAAUAUGUCGGUCGUGCCUCGGUACGUACUGGCUUAUUGGUUUCUCCUUUCUGAAGAACCAUGAUGUCAUUUAUUUGGUGUCGUGGGGAAUCAGGACUGUUACUUUGAAAAAAUUUAGAGUGUUUAAAGCAAGCUAACGCUUGAAUACAUUAGCAUGGAAUAAUGAAAUAGGACGUUCGAUCCUAUUUUGUUGGUUUCUAGGAUUGACGUAAUGAUUAAUAGGGAUAGUUGGGGGCAUUAGUAUUCAAUUGUCAGAGGUGAAAUUCUUGGAUUUAUUGAAGACUAACUACUGCGAAAGCAUUUGCCAAGGAUGUUUUCAUUAAUCAAGAACGAAAGUUAGGGGAUCGAAGACGAUCAGAUACCGUCGUAGUCUUAACCAUAAACUAUGCCGACUAGGGAUCGGAUGAUGUUAAUUUUUUAAUGACUCACUCGGCGCCUUAC